rnacentral:rRNA from 1 species
AAAUGGCCGCAGUAUUUUAACUGUGCAAAGGUAGCAUAAUCAUUAGUCUUUUAAUUGAAGGCUUGUAUGAAUGGUUGGACGAAAUAUUAACUGUUUCAUAAAAAUUGAAUUAGAAUUUUAUUUUUUAGUUAAAAAGCUAAAAUAAUUUUAAAAGACGAGAAGACCCUAUAGAUCUUUAUAAUUUAUAUAUUAUAGUUAUUUAGAUUAUUUAAAUUAUGAUUAUAUAAAUUAUUUUGUUGGGGUGACAUUAAAAUUUAAUUAACUUUUAAUUUAUUUUUACAUUGAUUUAUGAAUAAUUGAUCCAUUAUUAAUGAUUAAAAAAUUAAGUUACCUUAGGGAUAACAGCGUAAUUUUUUUGAAGAGUUCAUAUCGAUAAAAAAGAUUGCGACCUCGAUGUUGGAUUAAGAUAUAAUUUUGGGUGCAGCAAUUCAAUUAUUAAGUC